CAGGCCUAACACAUGCAAGUCGAGCGGAAACGAGAAUAGCUUGCUAUUCGGCGUCGAGCGGCGGACGGGUGAGUAAUGCAUAGGAAGUUGCCCAGUAGAGGGGGAUAACCAUUGGAAACGAUGGCUAAUACCGCAUAACCUCUUCGGAGCAAAGCGGGGGACCUUCGGGCCUCGCGCUACUGGAUACGCCUAUGUGGGAUUAGCUAGUUGGUGAGGUAAAGGCUCACCAAGGCGACGAUCCCUAGCUGGUCUGAGAGGAUGAUCAGCCACACUGGGACUGAGACACGGCCCAGACUCCUACGGGAGGCAGCAGUGGGGAAUAUUGCACAAUGGGCGAAAGCCUGAUGCAGCCAUGCCGCGUGUAUGAAGAAGGCCUUCGGGUUGUAAAGUACUUUCAGUUGUGAGGAAGGUUUCGUAGUUAAUAACUGCGUUGCUUGACGUUAGCAACAGAAGAAGCACCGGCUAACUCCGUGCCAGCAGCCGCGGUAAUACGGAGGGUGCGAGCGUUAAUCGGA
rnacentral:rRNA from 1 species